rnacentral:rRNA from 1 species
GACGUAGGAUGCAAGCGUUGUCCGGAUUUAUUGGGCGUAAAGAGUUCGUAGGCGGUUUGUUAAGUCUGAUGUUAAAGAUCGGGGCCCAACCCUGGGAGUGCAUUGGAUACUGGCAGGCUGGAGUGCGGUAGAGGCUAGUGGAAUUCCCAGUGUAGCGGUGAAAUGCGUAGAUAUUGGGAAGAACACCAGUGGCGUAGGCGACUAGCUGGGCCGUAACUGACGCUGAGGAACGAAAGCCAGGGGAGCGAAUGGG